CCAAGCCUGAACACGCACUUCGCAGACCUCGGAGAGGACUGAACUACGCUGUGACAGCGCCCGCCCGCCCGCCGCCGUGACGCGAGGGACACGCAGGCCGAGGGCUCACGGCGCGGCUCGGGCCCGCUGCCUCGGCUGGGGGUCGGGAGCGAGCGAGAGGCCCGGCCACCGGCACGUCGGGUGAGUCCAGUCCAGAGAGCGGCCGUGCCGAGCGCCCCUCAGCAGCUGCUGUUCGGCAGAGGCCCGUCUGCCAGCCCGACCCUCGGCCCCUCGCCCCGGCUCGCCUGCCGCCGCCCCUGGGCGCUCUCCUUGGGGCAGCACAGGCCGCCCUGGCUGCGCCCCUGCCCCGCACCAGCAGAGACGGGCCUUGGGCUGGAAGGUGCAAGGCUGAGCCGCUGCUGGAGCAGGAGAGCGCGCUCACCCGGCUCUGGGGCACGCAGGCGGCAGGGAAGAUCUACACCUCUCCCUUCAUGUGCCAUUUAUCGCCUCUCCCAAGACAACGCUUCAGUGGCCAACAGUGCAUGCGAGGAAUCAAGAAGGAUCUCUCUGCAUUUCUUCCUCUUCCUCCAAUUAACACCUUCUAUAGAUCUGCUACAUUAUUCACAUUUCACUAUAGAGAGUGAGCUGUUCUCCCCCAAAAUGUGAGGGGAAGAAUACAUAGCUCUACAGGAAAGGUGGAGGGAAGUUUACUUUUCCUAUUUUUCUGCAACAGCACAGUGAUCAUUCAUAAUAAAAGCCCAUAAUAAGCUAUCGAAAUGGCUUACCAUCACUUGAUCAGAUGUGGGAGAUGAAUACAGUACAUGACAAAACAUUCCCUGUAAAUACUCCCCUUCAAAACCAAAAAGCAGGAAAAAACUACAUGGUCAUCCAGAAAACCAUGCCUGAAGGCAGGAAGGAAGAGAGUGGGAGCUUGAGCUGCACACAAACCUGCCGAUUCACACAGCUGCUCUUUUUGUGAAAUCUUGGACCAAUAUUUUCACUCUGUCCCUUCCACCUUUGUAUUUUGCCUGGGUUUGACCCGUUGGUGCAGCUCUCCUGGACCUGGAAGAAAAGCUCAGAAACACACCGCUGAAGGAAAAAGAGCUGUGAGGAGGCUGUCACGCUGCUCCUUCUGCUCAUGGCAUUGAUGCACACAGAAAGGUGCAACUGCUGGCAAACCCUCGCUAAAAUGGCCUCUCACCAGGGGCUGGUUCACAUUCUUGGGUUCAACCAGUUAAAGUUUUUAAAUAUUCGGAGGUACUUUUUAAUUUCUA
rnacentral:lncRNA from 1 species